rnacentral:rRNA from 1 species
UACGUAGGGGGCGAGCGUUGUCCGGAUUUAUUGGGCGUAAGGAGCUCGUAGGCGGUGUGUCGCGUCGGCCGUGAAAACCUGCAGCUUAACUGUGGGCUUGCGGUCGAUACGGGCAUCACUGGAGUUCGGCAGGGGAGACUGGAAUUCCUGGUGUAGCGGUGAAAUGCGCAGAUAUCAGGAGGAACACCGGUGGCGAAGGCGGGUCUCUGGGCCGAUACUGACGCUGAGGAGCGAAAGCGUGGGGAGCGAACAGG